AUGAUCCAAUGGAUUGUUCCUCCGCAGAGCAUUCCUGCUUUGCAACAUCCCCUCCCACUUGGCCUUGUCAUCCUCGCUCUCCUGCAAACAGACCCAGCUCCGUCCUGGUUAUGUCCUCACUACUCAUCUAAUGGCUCAAUCCGGAAACUAAAAAUCACCCUUAUCCACCUCUUUGCCGGUCAUUACAUCAGGUUCUCCCAUCUGAACUUCUCCACUCCAUUGUCCAAUCUGGUCUUGAUUGGGGGGCAAAUAUGGUCGCGUUACAUCUCUACUUAUAAGGCUGAGUGGCCUUCACUGCCUGUAGAAUGAAGGUACGUUUGUGCGUAUCACAUAAAACUCUCCAUUCUGGGACCCCUGCACCCCUCUCCAAGGUCGUGUUCACCCAUUCCCUUCUUUUUUUGUUAAUUUUUAAUUUAAUUUAAUUUAAUUUAAUUUUUGUUAUUUAUUUAUUAUUUAUUUAUUUAUUUAUUUAUUUACUUAUUUAUUUAUUUAUUUAUUUAUUUAAUUUUUUCCCUUCCCUUCUUUGAAACCAUGCUAGACUCCUGCUUUUCCAUAAGCUUGCUGUAAUGGUUCACAGAGUUGCAUCUUCGCACAUGUUCCCUAUAGUCUGAAAGAAACGUUCUUAUUUUGUCACUUGUCCUUCAUCUUCAAGACCCAGUUCUAAUACCACACUUUUAGACCAGUCCUCCCCAGUCCCGAGAUGGAAUUGCACGGUGCCACCUGCACUGUACACAGACCUCUGUGAGGGUAAGUGUUCUGCUGACUGACAGCUGUUCAUUCCCGUGUUUGUUCCUCCCACCAGCUUUGAACUCUUCAGGAAGAGAAACCAUGUCUCAUGGAUCAUUGGAUCCCAAUUACUUUGCCAGGUAGAGGUGCCUACUAAGUUCUCAGUAAGUUGCUUUGGAAUUAUGUGCAUUGAUUGGCCCUCAAGUUCAACUGCAAGCAGAGACUUAAUGAGAGCUCUUUAGAGGCGGCGCAGUUACUCCUUCAUGGUAGGAUUUUUUCUCUCUCCGAUCUUUUGUACAUGAUUCCUCUGCUUUAAGUGACCUCGCCACACCGUCACCUGAAAAACCAUAUAUACUCCUUAAAUCUCAGCCCAAACAUCACUGCCUCAUUGAAGCUUUUCCCUACUUCCCCAGGUAAGAUUAAUCACCUCUUCCUUAGAAUUAACUCAGUUGGACCUGUAUAUUAUCUCAUUCUUUCUUUUAUUGUACUUACUGGAUGUUUUCUUAAAAAUCCUUUGAAAAAAAAAUCCUUUGAAAAACCGUUGAAAAGCAAACAGAUGCCCAUUCACUCCACUCUACUAGAAUUAAUUGUGGCUUCUUUUGUAUUUAUGUAGCAUUUGUCUUAGCAUAUAAAAGACAUUUGUUUACAUGUAUUUACGAUUUUAAGCUCCUUGAGGGAGGGAUUGUAUUUAAUUUAUUUGCUUGUAGGUUUGCUCCUGACUCAUUUCUGUUGUUUUCCCAUGAUCCAAGAUGUUAUUUUUGGUCACUGAUUCCAGAUGAUUUAUAAUAUUCAGUUUCUACACAACUUUAUUAUUUACCAAAACUUUAAAAAUCACAUUAUUGUUCAGCUGUUAAGGCUGGGAUGCAUAUUUAGUUUUUUAAGCUUUUCCCUGUUUUUAGUUUUGUUUUUAGUCCAUCAUUUUUAUUUCUUAUUUCUGUGUGUUGAUAAGAAAUGUAAGAGUGGAAUGUUAAUCAAUUUCAGUUUAGUUCUGUAAUGUCAAGAAUUUAAAAAUUAAAACAUGGGUCUGUUAAAAAAAAUUGCCUGGCAGAGAACCUAUACAUAGAUGCUAAACAAUUAUAUGUGAAAUUGAAUUGAAAUCAACCAAAAUAUACGUUUUUUAAUUUAUUUUUAAUUUAAUUUUUUUAAAUUUAAAUUUAUUUUUUAAAAAAUUUAUUCAUGAGAGACACAUAGAGAGAGUCAGAGACACAGGCAGAGGGAGGAGUAAGCUCCAUGCAGGGAGCCCGAUGUGGGACUCGAUCCCUGGACCCUGGGAUCACGACCUGAGCUGAAGGUAGACAGUCAAUCACUGAGCCACCCAGGCAUCCCUCAAAAUAUAAGUUUUUUGAGGAUAAUGAAUAUCAACUUUGAUCAGUGUUGUCACUUGGGGGAAAUGAAACCAAAUGAAACACUUUAGUUGUGCCCACAUGACAACCCCAAACAUUUUUGAAAGAAAGUAGAAAAAGCCUUAUUACCGUUUGUCUCUGUAGUGUCCCCAAUUUGUAAUAAAUCCUUUUCCUUGUUAUAUGAUUCCUGUACU
rnacentral:lncRNA from 12 species